ACCCGCUGAACUUAAGCAUAUCAAUAAGCGGAGGAAAAGAAACCAACAGGGAUUGCCUUAGUAACGGCGAGUGAAGCGGCAAAAGCUCAAAUUUGAAAUUGGCCCCCAGGUCGAGUUGUAAUUUGUAGAUUGUAUCUUGAGAGCGGAUUAAAGUCUGUUGGAACACGGCGCCUUAGAGGGUGACAGCCCCGUAAAAUCUAUUCUCAUUGUAAGAUACUUUCGAAGAGUCGAGUUGUUUGGGAAUGCAGCUCUAAGUGGGAGGUAAAUUCCUUCUAAAGCUAAAUAUUGACGAGAGACCGAUAGCGAACAAGUACUGUGAAGGAAAGAUGAAAAGCACUUUGAAAAGAGAAUGAAAAAGUACGUGAAAUUGUUAAAAGGGAAGGGUAUUGAAUCGGACUUGGUGCUGUUGUUCAACUGUGUUUUGGCACAGUGUACUCAGCAGUACUAGGCCAAGGUGGGGUGUUUGGGAGUGAAAAAGAAGUUGGAACGUAACUCUUCGGAGUGUUAUAGCCUACUUUCAUAGCUCCUCAGGCGCCUCAGGACUGCGCUUCGGCAAGGACCUUGGCAUAAUGAUUCUAUACCGCCCGUCUUGAAACACGGACCAAGGAG
rnacentral:rRNA from 1 species